rnacentral:rRNA from 1 species
GAUGAACGCUAGCUACAGGCUUAACACAUGCAAGUCGAGGGACCGGCGCACGGGUGAGUAACACGUAUCCAACCUGCCCCUUACUCUGGGAUAGCCUUUCGAAAGAAAGAUUAAUACCCGUAACUAAGGAUGGGGAUGCGUUCCAUUAGGUUGUUGGUAAGGUAACGGCUCACCAAGCCUUCGAUGGAUAGGGGUUCUGAGAGGAAGGUCACCCACAUUGGAACUGAGAGACGGUCCAAACUCGUACGGGAGGCAGCAGUGAGGAAUAUUGGUCAAUGGGCGCGAGCCUGAACCAGCCGAGUGAGGUGAAGGAUGAAGGCUUAUGGGUCGUAAACUUCUUUUAUAUAAGAAUAUGUAUUAUAUGAAUAAGGAUCGGCUAACGCCGUGCCAGCCGCCGCGGUAAUAC